GAUGAAGAACGUAGCGAAAUGCGAUAAGUAAUGUGAAUUGCAGAAUUCAGUGAAUCAUCGAAUCUUUGAACGCACAUUGCGCCCGUCAGUAUUCUGGCGGGCAUGCCUGUUCGAGCGUCAUUACGCCCCUCAAGUCCCCUGUGGACUUGGUGUUGGGGAUCGGCGAGGCUGGUUUUCCAGCACAGCCGUCCCUUAAAUUAAUUGGCGGUCUCGCCGUGGCCCUCCUCUGCGCAGUAGUAAAACACUCGCAACAGGAGCCCGGCGCGGUCCACUGCCGUAAAACCCCCCAACUUUUUAUAGUUGACCUCGAAUCAGGUAGGACUACCCGCUGAACUUAAGCAUAUCAAUAAGCGAGGA
rnacentral:misc_RNA from 1 species